UACGUAGGUGGCAAGCGUUGUCCGGAUUUAUUGGGCUUAAAGGGUGCGUAGGCGGCUUUGUAAGUCAGUGGUGAAAUAUGGCAGCUUAACUGUCAAGGUGCCAUUGAUACUGCGGAGCUUGAGUACAGAUGAGGUAGGCGGAAUUGACGGUGUAGCGGUGAAAUGCUUAGAUAUCGUCAAGAACACCUAUAGCGAAGGCAGCUUACUAGGCUGUAACUGACGCUGAGGCACGAAAGUGUGGGGAGCAAACAGG
rnacentral:rRNA from 1 species